rnacentral:lncRNA from 1 species
GAGCCAUCCUCCCACCUCAGCCUCCCAAAGUGCUGGGAUUACAUGCAUGAGCCACCACAUCCAGCCUACCUAAAAUAUUGAAUGCUGUUAAUAAAUCUCCUGAGGCCAGCAUAAGAAGGUGAUGGGCAAAACUAAUGCAGGGUUUCAGUUGUGCAAUUUCACCAUUAGCAAAGCUUUUUGCUGAAAUCUGGCUUUUCAAAGGGAGAGUAUCCAGAAACAGAAGAUGCUGAUCUGGGAGGCUCUUCCUAAUAGAACUGCUGCUUCAGUUUAACUUGAAAAAGCCCACACCCAGUUCCUAAUGACAAACAUCUGAACACCGGGUCUUCCCCUGAGCAAGACCAUGCUAUGCCUCCUGCUCGCUCUGUUCUAUAAGCAACCCACAGAUUGCUCCCUGUGAAGAGGAGCCUGCCAGGGGAGCAGCAUUCCACCAGACCCUGAUUUAGCAAGAUAUUUCCGUAUCAUUCCCCCAACCAGCUGGAAGUCCUCCACUGCUCUUGUGUAAAAAUCUAACUCAUCUCGCUGAAUUUCCUGAUUUAAAAGUCUAAUUCAUUUCACCAAAAGUGUGACAGAAGGAAACCAAGUACACCAUCUCUCUC